AUGUUGACCUGGCCCAAGAGGAUGUCCAUCGCCAUCGGAGUUGCCAAAGGGCUCUGCCACUUGCACCAUGGAUGCAACAGACCUGUUGUCCACCACAACAUCAACGCCAACAACAUCUUGCUUGAUCAGGAUCUCAAGGCGGUGAUUGCCAGCUUUGGCAUGGCGCAGAUUAACAUGGCCGGGCUCGGACAGCCGUUGCCAAUCACAGACCUGCCUCUUGGUAACUUUGGUUAUGCUGCUCUAGGUAUAUUGGUGGGUUUUUUCUUAGCUAGUUUGGUCUUCUAA
rnacentral:rRNA from 1 species